rnacentral:rRNA from 1 species
CGGCGUGCUUAACACAUGCAAGUCGAACGCGAAAGGGACUUCGGUCCUGAGUAAAGUGGCGCACGGGUGAGUAACGCGUAGAUAACCUGUCUUCAUGUCUGGAAUAAUACGCCGAAAGGGGUACUAAUACCGGAUAUUCUUGCUUUUCAUAAGUUAUGCAAGCAAAGGUGGCCUCUGCAUAUGCUACUGCAUGAAGAGGGGUCUGCGUACCAUUAGCUAGUAGGUGGGGUAAUGGCCUACCUAGGCGACGAUGGUUAGCGGGUCUGAGAGGAUGAUCCGCCACACUGGCACUGGAACACGGGCCAGACUCCUACGGGAGGCAGCAGUGAGGAAUAUUGCGCAAUGGGGGAAACCCUGACGCAGCGACGCCGCGUGAAGUGAGGAAGGCCUUCGGGUCGUAAAGCUCUGUCAAGAGGAAAGAAGUGUACAAUGGCUAAUACCUGUUGUAUUUGACGGUACCUCUAAAGGAAGCACCGGCUAACUCCGUGCCAGCCGCAGC